GACGAACGCUGGCGGCGUGCUUAACACAUGCAAGUCGAGCGGUAAGGCCUUUCGGGGUCCACGAGCGGCGAACGGGUGAGCAACACGUGGGUGAUCUGCCCUGCACUUCGGGAUACGCCUGGGACACUGGGUCUAAUACCGGAUUUGACCUCCUAUCGCUUGGUGGGUGGUGGAAAGAUUUAUCGGUGCAGGAUGGGCCCCCGGCCUAUCAGCUUGUUGGUGGGGUAAUGGCCUACCAAGGCGAGGCCGGGUAGCCGACCUGAGAGGGUGACCGGCCACACUGGGACUGAGACACGGCCCAGACUCCUACGGGAGGCAGCAGUGGGGAAUAUUGCACAAUGGGCGAAAGCCUGAUGCAGCGACGCCGCGUGAGGGAUGACGGCCUUCGGGUUGUAAACCUCUUUCAGCAGGGACGAAGCGCAAGUGACGGUACCUGCAGAAGAAGCACCGGCUAACUACGUG
rnacentral:rRNA from 1 species